GAGCAGGAGAGAAGGAGGAUCAGAGAGGAGCUGCAGGGGAGCCGGCCCAAGCACUUCCUGCCUGCAGUCCUGGGACCCUCAUUGCUGGAAAGGACCCUCCUGUGCGCAGAAAUAAUUCUUAUAUCACAGAAACCACAUUACAGCUCUGAAUUCUCUGUUCUGAGAGGGGUGGCAAAGGCCCUGAGAAAUCAAGAAAG